rnacentral:rRNA from 1 species
CCUACGGGGUGCAGCAGUGAGGAAUAUUGGUCAAUGGACGAGAGUCUGAACCAGCCAAGUAGCGUGAAGGAUGACUGCCCUAUGGGUUGUAAACUUCUUUUAUAUGGGAAUAAAAUGUUCCACGUGUGGGAUUUUGUAUGUACCAUAUGAAUAAGGAUCGGCUAACUCCGUGCCAGCAGCCGCGGUAAUACUGAGGAUCCGAGCGUUAUCCGGAUUUAUUGGGUUUAAAGGGAGCGUAGGUGGAUUGUUAAGUCAGUUGUGAAAGUUUGCGGCUCAACCGUAAAAUUGCAUUUGAAACUGGCAGUCUUGAGUACAGUAGAGGUGGGCGGAAUUCGUGGUGUAGCGGUGAAAUGCUUAGAUAUCACGAAGAACUCCGAUUGCGAAGGCAGUUCACUGGACUGCAACUGACACUGAGGCUCGAAAGUGUGGGUAUCAAACAGGAUUAGAUACCCUUGUAGUC